GGUCCACAUGAACUGCUGCUGUGCAGACUGUAGUUAGAGUUUUGCACAUGUGACUCCAGUUGUGUCCACUGUCGUUUAGCAAUCGGAAAAAAAACUAAAGGUCAGUACCCUGUCAAGCCAGUCAGAAGUUUCAUAGUGCGAAGACUGUGGCGCCAGAGUUGAAGCACAUCAAAGUUGUUUCACCAAUGCACAUGAUCAGUAAGUGUCCCAAUUCAGAUUUUGCCCUGAUAAGUUGUUUUGUAAUGGUUGCUUUUAUUUGACCACAGCGGAGUUCAAUAUUAUUGUGUGUGUCCUUACAAAUAUGAAAAUCUGCAUACUGUAUGACACAGAAUAAAGUAAUCUUCUUUCUAACACUUUAAAUGUUAGGGGUGGACCUCAUCGGACCCUUCACGAAAUCCAGGAAUGGCAGCAGCUGGUGUCUGACGGCGACCAAUCACUUUACCAAGUGGGUGGAGGCAAUACCUAUUAAGGACGAGACUGGCAAGGCCAUGGUUCUCCUGAGGUCAUCUUGAGUGACCGAGGUCAUGAACGCUGGAACAAGGUUUGGUGAAUGGACCAACCAGACCCUCAAGACUGGCAUGGGAAUGUCCCUUGAUUGGUACCAGGAAUGGUGGGAGAACAACCUGAAGGUAAUUCUCUUUGCACACAACAGCAUCCAGGCCUCCACCGAGUACGGACAGGAGCAGCAGCUGUUGACUGAGGUAAACAAUGCAAUUGUAUAUACAAUUAUUGCUUAUACUGUAGUUUUUCAAUUUGGUAUUUACUUUGUGUUUGUCUAUUGACAUUUUUGUAUAACAUACUUUCAGAUCUUCCUGAGUGGUGCAGUGGUCUAAGAACUGCAUCACAGUGCUAGCUGUGCCACUAGAGAUUCUGGGUUAGAGUCCGCAACCGGUAGACCCAUGGGGCGGC